rnacentral:rRNA from 1 species
AACGCGAAGAACCUUACCAGCUCUUGACAUGCCCGGUAUGGGCGGGAGAGAUCCCGUUCUUCGGUUCGGCCGGCCGGGACACAGGUGCUGCAUGGCUGUCGUCAGCUCGUGUCGUGAGAUGUUGGGUUAAGUCCCGCAACGAGCGCAACCCCCAUCUGCAGUUGCCAGCGGGCAAGCCGGGCACUCUGCAGAAACUGCCGGUGACAAGCCGGAGGAAGGCGGGGAUGACGUCAAGUCCUCAUGGCCCUUAUGGGCUGGGCUACACACGUGCUACAAUGGCGGUGACAGAGGGCGGCAAGCGGGCGACCGUGCGCCAAUCUCCAAAAGCCGUCUCAGUUCGGAUUGGAGUCUGCAACUCGACUCCAUGAAGCUGGAAUCGCUAGUAAUCGUGGAUCAGCAUGCCACGGUGAAUACGUUCCCGGGCCUUGUACACACCGAGUAUA